AUUGAAGAGUUUGAUCAUGGCUCAGAUUGAACGCUGGCGGCAGGCCUAACACAUGCAAGUCGAGCGGUAGCACAGAGAGCUUGCUCUCGGGUGACGAGCGGCGGACGGGUGAGUAAUGUCUGGGAAACUGCCUGAAGGAGGGGGAUAACUACUGGAAACGGUAGCUAAUACCGCAUAACGUCGCAAGACCAAAGUGGGGGACCUUCGGGCCUCAUGCCAUCAGAUGUGCCCAGAUGGGAUUAGCU
rnacentral:rRNA from 1 species